UACAGGGGGGGCAAGCGUUGUUCGGAAUUACUGGGCGUAAAGGGCUCGUAGGUGGCCAACUAAGUCAGACGUGAAAUCCCUCAGCUUAACUGGGGAACUGCGUCUGAUACUGGAUGGCUUGAGUUUGGGAGAGGGCUGCGGAAUUCCAGGUGUAGCGGUGAAAUGCGUAGAUAUCUGGAGGAACACCGGUGGCGAAGGCGGCAUCCUGGACCAACACUGACACUGAGGAGCGAAAGCCAGGGGAGCAAACGGG
rnacentral:rRNA from 1 species